GAUGAACGCUGGCGGCGUGCCUAAUACAUGCAAGUCGAGCGAACGGACGAGAAGCUUGCUCCCCUGAGGUUAGCGGCGGACGGGCGAGUAACACGUGGAUAACCUACCUAUAAGACUGGGAUAACUUCGGGAAACCGGAGCUAAUACCGGAUAAUAUUUUGAACCGCAUGGUUCAAAAGUGAAAGACGGUCUUGCUGUCACUUAUAGAUGGAUCCGCGCUGCAUUAGCUAGUUGGUAAGGUAACGGCUUACCAAGGCAACGAUGCAUAGCCGAGCUGAGAGGGUGAUCGGCCACACUGGAACUGAGACACGGUCCAGACUCCUACGGGAGGCAGCAGUAGGGAAUCUUCCGCAAUGGGCGAAAGCCUGACGGAGCAACGCCGCGUGAGUGAUGAAGGUCUUCGGAUCGUAAAACUCUGUUAUUAGGGAAGAACAUCUGUGUAAUUAACUGUGCACGUCUUGACGGUACCCAAUCAGAAAGCCACGGCUAACUACGUG
rnacentral:rRNA from 1 species